rnacentral:rRNA from 1 species
UACGUAGGGUGCAAGCGUUUGUCCGGAAUUAUUGGGCGUAAAGAGCUCGUAGGCGGUUCGUCGCGUCGGCUGUGAAAACCUGAGGCUCAACCUCAGGCCUGCAGUCGAUACGGGCGGACUUGAGUACUGCAGGGGAGAACGGAAUUCCUGGUGUAGCGGUGAAAUGCGCAGAUAUCGAGGAGGAACACCGGUGGCGAAGGCGGUUCUCUGGGCAUGUCCUGACGUGAGGAGCGAAAGUGUGGGGAGCGAACAGG